rnacentral:tRNA from 1 species
GGGCCGGUGACGGAACAGGCAGACGUGCAACACUUAAAAUGUUGUGUCCUGACGGACGUGGGGGUUCGAUCCCCCCCCGGCCUA